GGAUUGAAAUAAACCUUUAGCACUGGGACCCCACCUAGGAAACAUCUACCUCUAGGAAAUGAAGUUUUGAGAGAUGCCGACUGAAUUUGUGAUCACUGAAUAAGAACCAACUGGGCAUCAAAUCAGGGAUCAGGUGAACCUCAGGCAUUGAAUUUGUAACACCUGGACUUUGAGGGACCCACUCUCCUAGGAGCUUGGGAUAAACUCACUCCACACUCAGAGUCUAAAGGAAAGGACAGGGCUCAUGGAAAUUCUUGCCUCAACUGCUGUGACGCGAGCAGCCCAGGUACACAGGCCCCUGGAGGCCAGACGGCUGGCAACAUCUGCUUCCAAUUACCCCAGGGAGGGACCUCACCGCCAGCCGCUGGUAACAGGAGCCUCUGGCCUCUGAUUUAUGGCCCAUUUGGAAUGAAGCCUCAGGAGCAAUUACUUGCUGGAUGGAGCCAGGCGAGGGGCGAGAGCUUUGCAGAGCAGAAAGCAGAUCUGACUUGCUGGGCUCCCUCCCCAGGCAGAGAAGAAUCAUCUAACCUACAACAACCUUCUUCAUGGGCCUUGCUGAGUGGUGGCCGCCUACCUUAUUUUGUGUACAAGAGCCCAGAUGAAAACUACCUUCCCUGUUUUGCUCUCCUCCGCUGCCCUAAUGAUGGACCCCUGCUGCUACAAGUAAAAGAAGCCUGUGUCCUGAGCUUAGCACUUCAAUUGCUGGAAGGAGCAAAGUUGGAAGUCGGGAGGGGGUUGUUCCCACAGAAUCUUCUCGUUUCUGCGUUUAGCUGAGUGGAAAUGAUAUAAAAUUAAGUCCUACUCUCCAUUGUGACUCUCCCUUACCCACUACACCAGAAAUAGGCCAUCGUCAAUACUCCGGUGGUCGUCAUAGAGUGAGCUCAAAAGUAAUUGCUUUUGAGCUCUUUCUGAAGCCGACACGACUAUAGGCACCUUGAAGGUGAUGUCACCUUUUAGAUACACCGGCAAUUUAAUAACAGCCUGCAGAGAAUAAACAAAAUGAAAUAAUAGCUACCA
rnacentral:lncRNA from 1 species